AUUUGAUUGUGGAGUAAUUGUUCUGAAAAUUAUGGAGUUGUGGGAUGACAUUGAGAAAUAUGAAAGAAACACAAUGCCCAGUUACACAACUGAAGAACUACAACAAGUUAGGGAGCAAUAUGUUUGUCAAUGGAUUUUGGAUGUGGACAACGUGCGGAGGAAUCAAGUGUUGGAAGAUUUAGGCAUUUUGUAGAAUGUUGGAGAUUAUUGAUGAAAGAAAACUUGUUACUUUUCAUAUUUAUGUAUUGGUUGGACAUCAAAUCUGAUUUCAGAAAUUGUUGAGAAAUAUAUUUGGCAGUUGAAAUUCA